rnacentral:rRNA from 1 species
UACGUAGGUCGCAAGCGUUGUCCGGAUUUACUGGGCGUAAAGAGCGCGCAGGCGGCUGGUCAAGUCCGAUGUGAAAUCUCCCGGCUCAACUGGGAAACUGCAUCGGAAACUGAUCGGCUUGAAGAUGGGAGAGGGUAGUGGAAUUCCCGGUGUAGUGGUGAAACGCGUAGAUAUCGGGAGGAACACCAGUGGCGAAGGCGACUACCUGGCCCAUUCUUGACGCUGAGGCGCGAAAGCUAGGGGAGCGAACGGG